rnacentral:rRNA from 1 species
AUUGAACGCUGGCGGCAGGCUUAACACAUGCAAGUCGAGCGGAGAGAGGUAGCUUGCUACUGAUCUUAGCGGCGGACGGGUGAGUAAUGCUUAGGAAUCUGCCUAUUAGUGGGGGACAACAUUUCGAAAGGAAUGCUAAUUCCGCAUACGUCCUACGGGAGAAAGCAGGGGAUCUUCGGACCUUGCGCUAAUAGAUGAGCCUAAGUCGGAUUAGCUAGUUGGUGGGGUAAAGGCCUACCAAGGCGACGAUCUGUAGCGGGUCUGAGAGGAUGAUCCGCCACACUGGGACUGAGACACGGCCCAGACUCCUACGGGAGGCAGCAGUGGGGAAUAUUGGACAAUGGGCGGAAGUCUGAUCCAGCCAUGCCGCGUGUGUGAAGAAGGCCUUAUGGUUGUAAAGCACUUUAAGCGAGGAGGAGGCUACUUUAGUUAAUACCUAGAGAUAGUGGACGUUACUCGCAGAAUAAGCACCGGCUAACUCUGUGCCAGCCGCCGCCGUAA